GGGUACGGAGGCAGCAGUGAGGAAUAUUGGUCAAUGGCCGAAGGGCUGAACCAGCCAAGCCGCGUGAAGGAAUAAGGCCCUACGGGUCGUAAACUUCUUUAGUCAGGGAACAAAGGGUGCCACGUGUGGCGCUGUGAGUGUACCUGAAGAAUAAGCAUCGGCUAACUCCGUGCCAGCAGCCGCGGUAAUACGGAGGAUGCGAGCGUUAUCCGGAUUUAUUGGGUUUAAAGGGUGCGCAGGCGGCGAGUUAAGUCAGCGGUAAAAUUUCGGGGCUCAACCCCGACAAGCCGUUGAAACUGGCUUGC
rnacentral:rRNA from 1 species